CAGAUCCAAAGUUCAAGUGAAGUAUGUGGAUCAAACGAAACUUGUGCAAUGAUCAGAACGAGUGAAGUCUGUGGAUUUGCAUCCAGUAGAACCAUGCUCGCUCUUUGUAUUUGCACUGCAUCCCUUGUAUUUGAGAGUAUAGGCACUUUCAGAAAAUAUGCCAGAGGAUAUUAAGCAAGAAAUCUUGAAGGAAAAAGAACGGCUAGAUGGAAAGGUAUUGCCUCCUGCAAAAUAGAGAGAAAUGCAAAGGAGAUUGGUGCAAAGGAAAGAGGAUCGUUGUAGCAUCUGUCAGAUUUGGGAUAUUCAUCAGUUGGGGACCAGACUCACACUACCAAAAAAAUGA